rnacentral:rRNA from 1 species
CCUACGGGAGGCAGCAGUGAGGAAUAUUGGUCAAUGGGCGAGAGCCUGAACCAGCCAAGUCGCGUGAGGGAGUACUGCCCUAUGGGUUGUAAACCUCUUUUGUCGGGGAGCAAAAGCCGGACGUGUCCGGCUGUGAGAGUAACCGAAGAAAAAGCAUCGGCUAAAUCCGUGGCAGCAGCCGCGGUAAAACGGAGGGGGCCAGCGUUAUCCGGAUUUACUGGGGGUAAAGGGAGCGUAGACGGCCAGACAAGUCAGAAGUGAAAGCCCAGGGCUCAACCCUGGGACUGCGUUGGAAACUGCCUGGCUGGAGUGCAGGAGAGGUAAGCGGAAUUCGUGGUGUAGCGGUGAAAUGCGUAGAUAUUAGGAGGAACACCAGUGGCGAAGGCGGCUUACUGGACUGUAACUGACGUUGAGGCUCGAAAGCGUGGGGAGCAAACAGGAUUAGAUACCCUAGUAGUC